rnacentral:tRNA from 1 species
GCCGGGGUGGUGGAACUGGUAGACACACGGGACUUAAAAUCCCGAGGACCGCAAGGUUCGUGGGGGUUCAAAUCCCCCCCCCGGCA